rnacentral:rRNA from 1 species
CAAGACAACUUUACGGAGUUGACGAUUGACGGAGCGAAGCGACGUCAAAGCGUUCAUUAAAGUCGAGUUGGCUUAGGGAUACGUUCGUUGGGUAGGGGAGCGUUCUGUAAGCCUGUGAAGGUGUGUCGUGAGGCAUGCUGGAGGUAUCAGAAGUGCGAAUGCUGACAUAAGUAACGAUAAAGCGGGUGAAAAGCCCGCUCGCCGGAAGACCAAGGGUUCCUGUCCAACGUUAAUCGGGGCAGGGUGAGUCGACCCCUAAGGCGAGGCCGAAAGGCGUAGUCGAUGGGAAACGGGUUAAUAUUCCCGUACUUGGUGUUACUGCGAAGGGGGGACGGAGAAGGCUAUGUUGGCCGGGCGACGGUUGUCCCGGUUUAAGCGUGUAGGUGUGUGUUCCAGGUAAAUCCGGUUCACUUUAACACUGAGGC